rnacentral:misc_RNA from 1 species
UUUCCGUAGGUGAACCUGCGGAAGGAUCAUUACUGAGUGAGGGCCCCUCGGGGUCCAACCACCCACCCGUGUUUAACGAACCUUGUUGCUUCGGCGGGCCCGCCUCACGGCCGCCGGGGGGCAUCUGCCCCCGGGCCCGCGCCCGCCGAAGCCACCUGUGAACGCUGUCUGAAGUAUGCAGUCUGAGACAAUUAUUAAAUUAAUUAAAACUUUCAACAACGGAUCUCUUGGUUCCG